GAAAAUUUGCUCUUUUAGUAUUUGUCUAGUAGGUUUCCUCAGAGAGGAAGCCCCC
ensembl:snRNA U7 U7 small nuclear RNA